CAGCCUACCUCCCUGCCCAUAAGUUGAUAUGAUGUUUGGCAUAAAAAUGUCUGAAGAUUAUCCUCAAACACAGUGUAAACUCCGUUAGAGAGUUCCGUUAGGCAAGUGGACAGGAAAUCUUCUCAAAGACGACAUUUUACCUCUCAUCCAAGAGGCUACUUCAGUGACUGGGGAAGUGGAACAACUGUUUAGUCACUGAAGAAGCCUCUUGACCAUGACCUGGAUGACUGAGAAUCUUCAUAGACAUAACUGGGAGAAGUUUUAAUUUGGUCACAUACUGGCUAAGGUUGGAAUUGUUUCAACCAAUUUUUAUUAUAUUUAUUGCAUUGAACGAGAGAGUUUUAAGACGAAGUUAAAAAAUCUACUUUUCAUUUAGGUCUAAACACUUUUGUUGGCCCAUCAGAUAGGUUCCUUCUUGGUGGAAUUCUGGGGGAUGUGUUUUACAUCAGGUCCCAGCCCUGUCUGAGGACUGAAAUGAAGUUACUCAGUAUAUAAA